rnacentral:pre_miRNA from 1 species
CCUGCUGGAGAAGCAGGGCACGUGCAAACCCCAACACUCCUUGGUUUCUUGAAUGCCAAUGGAAACUAUACUCUUUUGCACGUGCUCCCCUUCUCCAACAUGGU